UACGAAGGGGGCAAGCGUUGUUCGGAAUUACUGGGCGUAAAGGGCGCGCAGGCGGCUGAUCAAGUCAGAUGUGAAAGCCCCGGGCUCAACCUGGGAAUAGCAUUUGGGACUGGUCGGCUAGAGUUCGGGAGAGGAGAGUGGAAUUCCCGAGUGUAGAGGUGAAAUUCGUAGAUAUUGGGAAGAACACCGGUGGCGAAGGCGGCUCUCUGGACCGAUACUGACGCUGACGGCGGCGAAAACGGUGGGUAGCAAACAGGA
rnacentral:rRNA from 1 species